AUGAAAGCCCUCUUCUGGAACAUCAGAGGUUUCGGUGCUCGGGGACGUCGAGACCAAAUUAAGGAUAUUGUCAGGGGGGACAAUAUUGACCUGAUAGGUUUGAUCAAAACUUUUAAAUCUUCCUUCUCUCCUCAUGAGCUUUCUUCUAUCGCGGGGGCGAAUCGUUUUGAUUGGAACUUCCUUCCCUCCUCGGGUCAUUCUGGUGGCAUGCUUUUAGGAUCUAGACGGGAUGUCUUUGAUUUCGUCGCUUUCGACCAUGGGAUCUUUUGGGCCAGCAUUGUGCUUUUUCAUUGUUAGCUCAACUCUCUCUGGGAAUUUAUGGUUGUGUACGGCCCGGUCGACCACUCCCUUUCUCCCUUGUUUCUGGACGAAAUUUCCAAUAAAGUGGAAGCAUGUUCUCUUCCCUUGGUGAUUGGUGGUGAUUUUAAUUUGCUUCGCUCUCCGGCGGACAAGAACACUAAUAAUUUUUCGUGGUCGUUGGCCAACGCUUUCAAUGACUUCAUCAGCUCCUGUGCUCUUCGUGAGAUUCCUAGGGUGGGAUCUAGGUACACCUGGACCAAUCAUCAACCUUCUCCUAUUUGA
rnacentral:rRNA from 1 species